GACAGAGGGGGGCAAGCGUUGCUCGGAAUCACUGGGCGUAAAGGGCGCGUAGGCGGGAUGGCAAGUCAGUCGUGAAAUCUCUCGGCUCAACCGAGAAACGUCGGCUGAUACUGCCGUUCUUGAGGGAUGCAGAGGAGACUGGAAUUCCCGGUGUAGCGGUGAAAUGUGUAGAGAUCGGGAGGAACACCGGUGGCGAAGGCGGGUCUCUGGGCAUUAACUGACGCUGAGGAGCGAAAGCAUGGGGAGCGAACAGG
rnacentral:rRNA from 1 species